rnacentral:tRNA from 1 species
GCUCUCGUGGCCCAGUUGGUUAGUGCGUCGUACUUAUAAGCAGUGCAGGAGUAUAUGCGAAGGUCGAGGGUUCGAUCCCCUCCGGGAGCA